rnacentral:rRNA from 1 species
UGGGGAAUAUUGGACAAUGGGCGAAAGCCUGAUCCAGCCAUGCCGCGUGUGUGAAGAAGGUCUUCGGAUUGUAAAGCACUUUAAGUUGGGAGGAAGGGCAGUAAGCGAAUACCUUGCUGUUUUGACGUUACCGACAGAAUAAGCACCGGCUAACUCUGUGCCAGCAGCCGCGGUAAUACAGAGGGUGCAAGCGUUAAUCGGAUUUACUGGGCGUAAAGCGUGCGUAGGCGGCUAAUUGAGUCGGAUGUGAAAUCCCCGAGCUUAACUUGGGAAUUGCAUUCGAUACGGGUUAGCUAGAGUGUGGGAGAGGAUGGUAGAAUUCCAGGUGUAGCGGUGAAAUGCGUAGAGAUCUGGAGGAAUACCGAUGGCGAAGGCAGCCAUCUGGCCUAACACUGACGCUGAGGUACGAAAGCAUGGGGAGCAAACAGG